rnacentral:rRNA from 1 species
UACGAGAGGCCCAAACGUUAUUCGGAAUUACUGGGCUUAAAGAGUUCGUAGGCGGCAUGACAAGUCGGGUGUGAAAGCCCUCGGCUCAACCGAGGAAUUGCGCUCUAAACUGUCGUGCUAGAGGAACCUAGAGGUGAGCAGAACUGAUGGUGGAGCGGUGAAAUGCGUUGAUAUCAUCAGGAAUACCGGAGGCGAAGGCGGCUCACUGGGGGUUUUCUGACGCUGAGGAACGAAAGCCAGGGUAGCGAACGGG